rnacentral:rRNA from 1 species
AUGCACGCUGGCGGCGUGCCUAAUACAUGCAAGUCGAGCGAACAGACGAGGAGCUUGCUCCUCUGACGUUAGCGGCGGACGGGUGAGUAACACGUGGAUAACCUACCUAUAAGACUGGGAUAACUUCGGGAAACCGGAGCUAAUACCGGAUAAUAUAUUGAACCGCAUGGUUCAAUAGUGAAAGACGGUUUUGCUGUCACUUAUAGAUGGAUCCGCGCCGCAUUAGCUAGUUGGUAAGGUAACGGCUUACCAAGGCAACGAUGCGUAGCCGACCUGAGAGGGUGAUCGGCCACACUGGAACUGAGACACGGUCCAGACUCCUACGGGAGGCAGCAGUAGGGAAUCUUCCGCAAUGGGCGAAAGCCUGACGGAGCAACGCCGCGUGAGUGAUGAAGGUCUUCGGAUCGUAAAACUCUGUUAUUAGGGAAAAACAAAUGUGUAAGUAACUAUGCACGUCUUGACGGUACCUAAUCAGAAAGCCACGGCUAACUACGUG